rnacentral:rRNA from 1 species
UACGGAGGGUGCAAGCGUUAUCCGGAUUCACUGGGUUUAAAGGGUGCGUAGGUGGGUUUGUAAGUCAGUGGUGAAAUCUCCAUGCUUAACAUGGAAACUGCCAUUGAUACUACAGGUCUUGAAUUUUCCGGAGGUCAGCGGAAUAUGUCAUGUAGCGGUGAAAUGCUUAGAUAUGGCAUAGAACACCAAUUGCGAGGGCAGCUGACUACAGGGAUAUUGACACUGAGGCACGAAAGCGUGGGGAUCAAACAGG